rnacentral:rRNA from 1 species
GAUGAACGCUAGCGGCAGGCUUAACACAUGCAAGUCGAGGGGUAUAGGUUUUCGGACCUAGAGACCGGCGCACGGGUGCGUAACGCGUAUGCAAUCUACCUUUCACAGAGGGAUAGCCCAGAGAAAUUUGGAUUAAUACCUCAUAGUAUAGCAGUUUCGCAUGAAACCACUAUUAAAGUUCCAACGGUGAAAGAUGAGCAUGCGUCCCAUUAGCUAGAUGGUAAGGUAACGGCUUACCAUGGCUACGAUGGGUAGGGGUCCUGAGAGGGAGAUCCCCCACACUGGUACUGAGACACGGACCAGACUCCUACGGGAGGCAGCAGUGAGGAAUAUUGGUCAAUGGACGCAAGUCUGAACCAGCCAUGCCGCGUGCAGGAUGACGGUCCUAUGGAUUGUAAACUGCUUUUGUACGAGAAGAAACAACAUUAUGUGUAAUGUCUUGACGGUAUCGUAAGAAUAAGGAUCGGCUAACUCUGUGCCAGCAGCCGCCGUAACAC